rnacentral:rRNA from 1 species
UACGUAGGGUGCGAGCGUUGUCCGGAUUUAUUGGGCGUAAAGAGCUCGUAGGCGGCUUGUCGCGUCGACUGUGGAAACUCGGGGCUCAACUCCGAGCUUGCAGUCGAUACGGGCAGGCUAGAGUUCGGUAGGGGAGACUGGAAUUCCUGGUGUAGCGGUGAAAUGCGCAGAUAUCAGGAGGAACACCGGUGGCGAAGGCGGGUCUCUGGGCCGAUACUGACGCUGAGGAGCGAAAGCGUGGGGAGCGAACAGG